rnacentral:rRNA from 1 species
GUCAGCAGCCGCGGUAACACCGGCGGCCCGAGUGGUGAUCGUGAUUAUUGGGUCUAAAGGGUCCGUAGCCGGUUUGGUCAGUCCUCCGGGAAAUCUGAUAGCUCAACUAUUAGGCUUUCGGGGGAUACUGCCAGACUUGGAACCGGGAGAGGUAAGAGGUACUACAGGGGUAGGAGUGAAAUCUUGUAAUCCCUGUGGGACCACCUGUGGCGAAGGCGUCUUACCAGAACGGGUUCGACGGUGAGGGACGAAAGCUGGGGGCACGAACCGGAUUAGAUACCCGGGUAGUCCCAGCCGUAAACGAUGCUCGCUAGGUGUCAGGCAUGGCGCGACCGUGUCUGGUGCCGCAGGGAAGCCGUGAAGCGAGCCACCUGGGAAGUACGGCCGCAAGGCUGAAACUUAAAGGAAUUGGCGGGGGAGCACAACAACGGGUGGAAGCCUGCGGUUUAAUUGGACUCAACGCCGGACAACUCACCGGGGGCGACAGCAAUAUGUAGGCCAAGCUGAAGACUUUGCCUGAAUCGCUGAGAGGAGUGGUGCAUGG